AACGAACGCUGGCGGCAGGCUUAACACAUGCAAGUCGAGCGCACCCCAAGGGGAGCGGCAGACGGGUGAGUAACGCGUGGGAAUCUGCCCCUCUCUACGGAAUAACGCAUGGAAACGUGUGCUAAUACCGUAUACGUCCUUCGGGAGAAAGAUUUAUCGGAGAGGGAUGAGCCCGCGUUGGAUUAGCUAGUUGGUGGGGCAAAGGCCUACCAAGGCGACGAUCCAUAGCUGGUCUGAAAGGAUGAUCAGCCACACUGGGACUGAGACACGGCCCAGACUCCUACGGGAGGCAGCAGUGGGGAAUAUUGGACAAUGGGCGCAAGCCUGAUCCAGCCAUGCCGCGUGAGUGAUGAAGGCCCUAGGGUUGUAAAGCUCUUUCACCGGUGAAGAUAAUGACGGUAACCGGAGAAGAAGCCCCGGCUAACUUCGUGCCAGCCGCCGCCGUAAAAC
rnacentral:rRNA from 1 species